GAGAGCCGUAUGAUGGGAAACUAUCACGUACGGUUCGGAGGGCAGUUUCGGCUGACCCUAU
rnacentral:ncRNA from 1 species